ensembl:lncRNA
CAACUGACUUCGCAGAAACGUCACGGACAAUGCUUCAUUAAGUCUUCAACCUCUCUGUCUCCGGGAACCUGUCCCUGCCCACAUCGCUCUCCUACUGGCCCUGGCGGCCCUCUGGGUCCUGAACGCCGGUGCCGCCAUCACCCCCGCCCGGGAGGCCUCCGAGAGCCGCAGAAGACCGGUCUGCACUGCCGGGGGUCGCUGGCGCCGCCUCCCGGCCUUCGCGGUGGGAGUCGCUCGCGGACCGGGGUCUCCUGCAACCCCUGCAGCCCAGGUCUCAGAUACACCCAAUGUGGCCCCAAGAAAGGCAGAGACAAGCACCGCGGGAGCCUGAGGCCACGUCUCCCUGCAGGGCCAGGGGGCAAGCCCCAUCCCAGGAGUGGAAGAGAGGAGGGGGCCGGGAGGCCCUGGUGGAUGCGACGCAGAAGCAGGCCACGACCGACCGUGCUGCUGCCCUUUGCUGUGGUCCCGCUUUCCUCCGGGAUGUCCCGAGUGGCUUCACUGGAAGUCAUCCUCCUGGAGGACCUGGAGGAGGGAAGCACUGGGCCUCAGGACCUCCAAGCCAAUCAUCUGAGCCUGGGGCUCUCAGGGCUGAGAAAAGACCGGGGUUUUGGGUGUGUGUGCAUGUGUGCCUGUGUGUGUGUGUGUGCCUCUGUGUGUGUGUGCCUCCGUGUGUGUGUAGGCGUGUGUGCCUCCGUGUGUAUCUGUGUGUGUGUGUCUGCAGACCUCAGAGAGGGAGGCUUCACCCUGCGGCCGGAGGAGGUGGUGAACUCAGGGUGCGUCCCCGCCGAGCCUCUCGUGUCCUGCCGCCGCCGCGCGAGGGGCCUGCCUCGGCUACUCCCAGGCGCACAGGGGCCUGAGCCGGCGGGCGCCGAGAACCUGGGCCCAGGGACGGCCUGGACCCCACCGACACUGGCCCAGGAGCGCAGCCUCAGUCUCACUGCCGGGUCGGUUCUGCCCAAGGUCACCGCGCGCCGCUCGGA